GAGGGGGUGCAAACGUUAUUCGGAUUUAUUGGGUGUAAAGGGUGUGUAGACGGGGUUAUUAAGUUCGUUGUUAAAUCUUCCGGGCCUAACCGGAAGCUCGCGAUGGAAACUGGUAACCUUGAGGAUGGAAGAGAGAAGUGGAAUUCUCGGAGUAGCGGUAAAAUGCGUAGAUCUCGAGAGGAACACCGAUGGCGAAGGCAGCUUCUUGGUCCAUUCCUGACGUUGAAACACGAAAGCGCGGGGAGCAAACAGGAUUAGAUACCCUGGUAGUCCACGCCGUAAACGAUGAUCACUAGAUGUUGGCCCUGUUUUGCAGGGUUAGUAUCGAAGCUAACGCGUUAAGUGAUCCACCUGGGAACUACGAUCGCAAGAUUA
rnacentral:rRNA from 1 species